CCUUUACUCAGAGUGAUAGAGAAAACUAUGGCUCUGCCUUUACUGAAGGAUCUAAUGGCUCGGAGCGGGCAGCUUUCAUUUAUGAAUAUAAGGUGAAAAGGAGUAAGGAGAAGUUUGGGAGAGUCAGACAGUCCACGGAACUUGCAAUGACUCAGCGAUGAUCUAUGCCAGAUGUACAACCCCUGCUGUCACUGGUGAGGAU